GUGUUCUGCUACGACUAUAUGGGACACCCGAUUUUCCCUGGACAGAGUUACUUUGAUGGUUGCAACACUUGUAUUUGUGGACCAUAUGGCAGGCCCACUCUCUGCACACUAAUAUACUGCGGGUAUAAUAACAUAAACAGAGGAGGACCAGUUCCAUCCGUACGCCCAGUUAAUGCCAGGUACCAAGUCAACGCGAUCAAUUCCUUUUACCAAGUCAGCCCUGUGGCACCCGUGUACACGACGAAGCCAAUUAAACAAUACCCAAGGAGAAGAUACUAGGCAUUUUCAAGACAUUUUCUUCCUCCAGAUGUUUAAUAAUAUAUUGAAAGUGUUGUUGAUUUGAAAUCUUUGAAAAUAUUACGGAAAUGUAUAAAUGUAUUAGUUUAUAUCGAAUGAUAACUUGUUUUUUUCGGCGAUAUGUAAGGUAUUUCAUAUUGUUAUCAUGUCAUUUCAUAAUUACAUUAUCUAUGCAGUGAAAAUAAAUCGAGUGUGAUACACG